CAGUAGCCGCGGGAAUACGUAGGGUGCAAGCGUUAAUCGGAAUUACUGGGCGUAAAGCGUGCGCAGGCGGCUUUUUAAGUCGGAUGUGAAAUCCCUGAGCUUAACUUAGGAAUUGCAUUCGAUACUGGGAAGCUAGAGUAUGGGAGAGGAUGGUAGAAUUCCAGGUGUAGCGGUGAAAUGCGUAGAGAUCUGGAGGAAUACCGAUGGCGAAGGCAGCCAUCUGGCCUAAUACUGACGCUGAGGUACGAAAGCAUGGGGAGCAAACAGGAUUAGAUACCCGCGUAGUCCCUGUCUCUUAUAC
rnacentral:rRNA from 1 species